rnacentral:rRNA from 1 species
UACGGAGGGAGCUAGCGUUGUUCGGAAUUACUGGGCGUAAAGCGCGCGUAGGCGGCUUUGUAAGUUAGAGGUGAAAGCCCGGGGCUCAACCCCGGAAUUGCCUUUAAGACUGCAUCGCUAGAAUCCGGGAGAGGUGAGUGGAAUUCCGAGUGUAGAGGUGAAAUUCGUAGAUAUUCGGAAGAACACCAGUGGCGAAGGCGGCUCACUGGACCGGUAUUGACGCUGAGGUGCGAAAGCGUGGGGAGCGAACAGG